rnacentral:snoRNA from 1 species
UUGACCUCUUCGAAGCUCCUUAUACCUUUACACCGUGGUAUAAUGAGUCAAAGCGAGGCCUAGAUCAAUGUUAUUUUUCCCACUACUUUGUUCUGUUUAGAGAUAUUUUUUACCAAAAAACAGUGUUGAUAUUCAAUCAGAUUUACUUGAUUGUUUAUUCAUAAGUAUGGUACAUUC